UACGUAGGGUGCGAGCGUUGUCCGGAAUUAUUGGGCGUAAAGAGCUCGUAGGCGGUGUGUCACGUCGGCCGUGAAAACCUGGGGCUUAACUCUGGGCGUGCGGUCGAUACGGGCAUCACUGGAGUUCGGCAGGGGAGACUGGAAUUCCUGGUGUAGCGGUGAAAUGCGCAGAUAUCAGGAGGAACACCGGUGGCGAAGGCGGGUCUCUGGGCCGAUACUGACGCUGAGGAGCGAAAGCGUGGGGAGCAAACAGG
rnacentral:rRNA from 1 species